CUGGAAUUGUAUUAAAUCAUUUGGUUUGCAAUCUAUCAUCCAUCUUUCUGUUACAUUCAUUUCUGUCUUUCCAUGUGCUUUUGGUCGUCUGCGUGUGUUGACUACAGGAUAUAGCUAGGAGUUGGAUUGCCCCUAGGAAAAAAAAUUACUCUCUGCGUGGAGCCAGGUCAGUGUUUCAUGGAUGGUCUGUUAGGUUCAUUUUGUGUCCGCAUCAGUGAGUUGGCUGCAGGACUGGAUCUGGUCCAGAACUUGAGCUCCGUACAGCAAAGGGGACUUGCGAAGGUCAGUUUCCAAUGCUCUCUAUGGCGAAGGUGAUGGUUGUGAUGAGAUGAAUGGAACGGUUGAGGUUUGCUUUCUGUUCGUGGUUAUCUUUAUUGGUUAUGACUCGGUGCUUAUUUGAUAUGGUUGGAACUUGUGAGCUGCUGGAUUGGAUUGCUGAUCAUGGGAUGGAACUAGAGAAGUUACAUAUUACGUUGGGAUAAUCAGUCCUUCUGAAUUUAAUUUCCUUCUCAAUUCAGUGUACUCCAAUUCCAGUUCUGAAAUGGAUUGUUGGUUCUCCAGAUAUUGGACUUGCACAACUUAGCGAAGAUGCCCUAUUUUGCUUCAUCAUGUUAUCGGUGGUUCCUUUUUGUGACUUGAAUAAACUUUAUCGACUUCCUUUGAUAAUUAACUUCCUAGUUAUGGCUUUCCCUCCCUUCAUCGUAAUUAUGUGCUCUCGCAGAUAUGGAAAAGGAGUAUAUCAUUCUGGAACCAAGGGCUGUUGUCUAUCUCCCAGCCGAGCAAGCUAAUCAUAUCCCCUAAUUCAAUAUUUGAUGCAUGAACAGCAAAUCUACAGUAAUGUCUUAGGACAAAUCUGAUGCUGUGUUACAUUUGUUUGGAUCUUCUGAAUCUAGUACCUUAUCAAUUCGCAACAACUUGUUAAACGUAUAAAAUUAUCCAAGUAUCUCACGGAGAGGCAAUAUUUGGACAUUCAGAUUGAUUUGUGGAGGUACACUGAUUCUGAGGAUGCUUUGGAGCUUCAGUUAGAUGGCACAUCUUACAAGAGAAACUCGGUGCUCUCUAUUUACAUCUUUUGAACUCUUAUUUUGAGCAAACUCAUGUUUUCUCUCAGUUGCUUCUUGCUUUGAUUGGGGGUUUCGCUUCCUCCUCGUGUUUGCAGAUUGUGCUGAUAGUUGCUCGGAAUCUGUAAUAUUGUUCGGUUUGCAAUCUAUCUUGAUAUGGUUGAAUUUGUUAUCUGUAUGCUUCAUCCCAGUGCUUGAACAUGUCAUUUGCAGUAUAUGUUUUGGAUUGUUGGGGCCUGCUGUAGUUAAAAUCCCCCUGUAUGUGGAGUCAGGUCUGUUUGUUUUAUUGGUUUGGCUCACCCCAUCAGCUUCAGUGAUCUUCCAGAUUUGAAUUUCUCUCUGCAAAAUUUGCUUUAGUCCAUUCUCCUAUGACAAAUCAUUGUAAUUCAAGGUGCGUUUGGAACCCUGGAUUGUUUGUGUUAUGUGCAUAUGCUCCUCUAGCUAUAUGACUGGUGGUGGUGAUUGCAUUUAAGGGUAUAGGUUUGGUUAUAAGUUAAUGCUCAUUCUUUAGAUAAUGUCAUAAUUUUAUGAUGUUAAUUUAUUGGUUUUGGGUCUACCCUGAUCGGAAUAGUCAGUCAGACCUGCAUAGUUGAGGAUUUGAAGGUGUCAUGAAGCUUGGCAGGACUGUAGAUCACAUAACUGGAAGAAGUCUGCAAUGCUUUGUUCGGAUAUUUUCUUCCUUUGAAGAUCCUUUCUUUAAUACGUAUUGCUCUUAUGUUUGAUUUCAUCCUAAAGCACAUUUCACAGUAAAUGAUAGAAGGGUACUUGUGGAUGUCGAUCUGAUAUGCAGUAUGAAAGAACGGUAGGCCCAACAGUUUUUUCACACUUUAUGUCAUUUAUUCCAGUUGAGAGUUCAUAUAUCUGACUUUUGAGGUAUAGGGUUAUAUAUUUAGGCUUCUCAUUGAUUUGCAGUGUUGGAGAUUCUUGGUGCAAGGAGUGUUGGAAGGUCUAGCAAAACGUUGGCUAAUGGGGGUAUUUUUGUGAAGCUUCAGUCAAGCCAUCAACUGUGUCUUCUUUUCCAACUGUUCUGACUUCUAAUGAAAAAAUCUUGACGCGUAUUGUUACUUGAUUUGGUCUUGUGCGGCAGCUUACAGUUUCAACUUUCAACUUGCAUUCAGUGGCCUCAUCUCUUCGGUACAGCUUGCAGUCUUUAGUUGCGUGCACAUCUGGAUCUUCUGAUGAGUAAUUUUGAAGCUUAUUAUUGGUCUCUGUUGUGUUCCAACUUUGUUUGGAUGGAAUCUGUUCUCAUCCUUUUUUUGUGGACAUAGGGGAUGCGAGAAGUCUUGAUUACUAUGUUACAUGUUCGUUUCUGGAAGUUGGGUUUCAUGACAAUGUCUAAGUUUUAUCAAAGCACUCAGAUGUGUUUUAUCUAGCAGUAGGUAGCAGAUUUAUGACCUGAUAGGAAGUAGAACAUGCAUGUACAUGAGGCUCUGAAGGCAGUAAAAUAUCCUUACAGUUUUAUAUAUUUGAAUUAUUUUGAGAUCAUGUCUGGAUUUGCUAGUUUUAUUGUUAUUCGUGAUCACAAUUGGUUUGUCCACUUACUAUUUUCCUGGUCAGUUCAAUUAAGCCAAGUCACAUCUAAUCAAUUUCUGGUAUGCGUGGAUAUUGAAUUUCGACAAACAAAGAUCCACCUAAUCUGCUGUCUAUCUCCAUUUGUAUAUUAAAAUAUAUCAAUUAAUUCAAAGACCCCUCCUAACUUAAGUGGGUAA